GAUUCUAAUAAAGUUUCUAUGAGUUUCUUAAGAUCCAAUUGACAAUUUUAACAACAAUUUCUUACGUAAACGUAUUAUCGGUGGCACGGUGUGUAUGCCAUCACCCUCUUCUCGGAAUUGGAUUUUUAACAUUGCAAUAAACUUUAUUACUGGCGGUUCAAGGAAGUUUUGUAAGCAAUGGUUGAUGGUGAGGAUAUUGAAAGUUCCAUGGACAAACAAUUCAACGAUAAUGACGGAGGUAAACCGGAUAAAAUGUUUACGUUGAAGAAGUGGAAUGCUGUGGCUAUGUGGAGCUGGGAUGUUGAGUGCGACACUUGCGCUAUUUGCAGAGUUCAAGUAAUGGCUGAGUGACUACCUUUUCUACUGUUAUUGUAUGUUAUACAAAGCUCCGUAAAGAGUUUUUAAUACAUUAUCCGGAAUCAGUUCAAAGAAUUGUGUUAAUAGUAAAUUGUACAUUGUGCCUUGCUGUUAAGAAGAGCUCCACUUGAA